rnacentral:rRNA from 1 species
AGCAGUAGCCACGGUAAUACGAAGGGUGCAAGCGUUAAUCGGAAUUACUGGGCGUAAAGCGUGCGUAGGCGGUUUGUUAAGUCUGUUGUGAAAUCCCCGGGCUCAACCUGGGAAUGGCAAUGGAUACUGGCAAGCUAGAGUGUGUCAGAGGAUGGUGGAAUUCCCGGUGUAGCGGUGAAAUGCGUAGAGAUCGGGAGGAACAUCAGUGGCGAAGGCGGCCAUCUGGGACAACACUGACGCUGAGGCACGAAAGCGUGGGGAGCAAACAGGAUUAGAUACCCGUGUAGUCCCUGUCUCUUAUAC